rnacentral:rRNA from 1 species
ACCUACGGGGCGCAGCAGUGGGGGAUAUUGCACAAUGGGGGAAACCCUGAUGCAGCGACGCCGCGUGAGUGAAGAAGUAUUUCGGUACGUAAAGCUCUAUCAGCAGGGAAGAAUAAUGACGGUACCUGACUAAGAAGCCCCGGCUAACUACGUGCCAGCAGCCGCGGUAAUACGUAGGGGGCAAGCGUUAUCCGGAUUUACUGGGUGUAAAGGGAGCGUAGACGGCUGUGCAAGUCUGAAGUGGAAUGCCGGGGCU